rnacentral:rRNA from 1 species
GCGCACGGGUGAGUAACGCGUAUCCAACCUGCCCAUCACUUGGGGAUAACCUUGCGAAAGUAAGACUAAUACCCAAUGACGUCUCUAGAAGACAUCUGAAAGAGAUUAAAGAUUUAUCGGUGAUGGAUGGGGAUGCGUCUGAUUAGCUUGUUGGCGGGGUAACGGCCCACCAAGGCGACGAUCAGUAGGGGUUCUGAGAGGAAGGUCCCCCACAUUGGAACUGAGACACGGUCCAAACUCCUACGGGAGGCAGCAGUGAGGAAUAUUGGUCAAUGGGCGAGAGCCUGAACCAGCCAAGUAGCGUGCAGGAUGACGGCCCUAUGGGUUGUAAACUGCUUUUAUAAGGGAAUAAAGUGAGUCUCGUGAGGCUUUUUGCAUGUACCUUAUGAAUAAGGACCGGCUAAUUCCGUGCCAGCAGCCGCGGUAAUACGGAAGGUCCGGGCGUUAUCCGGAUUUAUUGGGUUUAAAGGGAGCGUAGGCCGGAGAUUAAGCGUGUUGUGAAAUGUAGACGCUCAACGUCUGCACUGCAGCGCGAACUGGUUUCCUUGAGUACGCACAAAGUGGGCGGAAUUCGUGGUGUAGCGGUGAAAUGCUUAGAUAUCACGAAGAACUCCGAUUGCGAAGGCAGCUCACUGGAG